GACGAACGCUGGCGGCGUGCUUAACACAUGCAAGUCGAACGGAAAGGCCCUGCUUUUGUGGGGUGCUCGAGUGGCGAACGGGUGAGUAACACGUGAGUAACCUGCCCUUGACUUUGGGAUAACUUCAGGAAACUGGGGCUAAUACCGGAUAGGAGCUCCUGCUGCAUGGUGGGGGUUGGAAAGUUUCGGCGGUUGGGGUUGGACGCGCGGCUAAUCAGCUUGUUGGUGGGGUAGUGGCUGACCAAGGCUUUGACGGGUAGGCGGCAGGAGAGGGUGACCGGGCACAUGGGGACUGCGGUACGGACCAGACUGCUACGGGAGGCAGUAGUGGGGAACAUUGCACAACGGGCGGAAGUCUGAUGAAGAAGCGCCGCGUGCGGGAUGACGGCCUUCGGGUUGUAAACCGCUUUCGCCUGUGACGAAGCGUGAGUGACGGUACUGGGUAAAGAAGCACCGGCUAACUACGUG
rnacentral:rRNA from 1 species